UCCAGGGUAGCCUAGUGGACAUAGCAUAUGCCCUGUAAGCGGAAAACUGUGGGUUUGAUUCCCAUCCCUGGAC
rnacentral:tRNA from 1 species